CUAAAGUCACAUUAGAUUUUAUAUUACAUUUAUUUUACAUCACAUUUUAAAUGUGUACUUCCUUCUUGUCUGGUAAAUAUUUAGAAUAAUGCCAUAAUUAAAUGUCUAGUUUUUAACGAUUACAUUUUAAUUACAACAUUUCUUUUAGUUGCAACGUUAUUCUAGCAUGGCAAUAAUUGUCUAUUUGACUUCCUUGUGUUUCACUAUAAAAAAGUCAUUUUUCAAAUAUAAGCCAUAAGUAUAGUAAAAGUUGAUAACAUCACAAAAAAAUGAAUAAAACAUUAGAAGAGCCAUAUUGUUGGGCUAUUUGGAAUGAAAAUGAAGAUGAAGAUACCUCUGGUGUUAUUCCAUCCAAUUGGUUAGUUCUUGGAAGCCAUACAUUUUGGCCACCUAAUAAUUAUUUCCAAGUCAAACAUGCAUUUCAUGAAAGAAGAGAUCCUGAUCAUUCAUGGAAAAAAUUUACACUAGUUAAGGUUAAGGUCUUUUGGAACAUAUGAGUUCUGUAAUGAAAUGUGCAGUACAGAUGUUGGGUGGUUUUCUACAGGUGGUGAAAGUGUCGCACCAAUAAAAAAAAAUUAAAUAAAAAAACAAAUGACAGUCAAAAUACUCUAUCAUUUCCUUCUCCACCAUCUAGAAUUCAAGAGAAACAAAUAUCGAGUGUGAAAAAGAAUGAAAUAUCACCAAGUGUGAUUGAAAAAAAAUUGGCAAAAUCCAAAAGAGCCUUUUUUUCCAGCUAUGAAACUGAAAAACAAAAAAUAUGCAAACUGAAGAAAAGCAAUAUAUGGUCAGAUGAUGAAGAGGUUCAUUUUGAGAAGACCUCUCAAAGUUCACAAGUCCAAAACUAUUCUGAGAAAGAACAAAUAACUAAUAGUCGGUAUAUAAGAAAAGAUGCAGCUAUGUUGCCAAAUAAAGGGUUUUCCUUUAACUGAGUCAGAAUUUCAAGCAAAAGUAAUGAAAUACUUGAUCAAACAAGAUCAAAGGCUUGAAAGUAUUGAGAAAAUUUUACUUAAUUUAACAUCUUCAACAGUUGGAGUACUAAAGAAGUAUCCCCAGUAUGUGAUUUGACUGAGUUACACAAUUUAGAGAAGAAAAUAGAAGAUGAAGAAGAAUUUAAUAAACUAGUUUUGUUACUCUCUGCUGCUGGGGGUAAAGAUGUUAAAGAUGUUGUGAAGAAUAUUAUGGAAAGUGUGGCUACGUAUGAUGUGUUGCCCAAGUUUAAAUUUCGGGGAACUAAUCGUCUCGAAAAAAAUAAAGAGCCAAGACCAAGUAAAGAAACUUUUAAAAGUCAAACGUACAGCAAAGUUGUGUGCUGUACGUUAUAUAAAUUAUUUUAGUUUUGAAAAGCUUUUUUAUAUUAUAAACUAAGUUCUUAUUUGUUUUAACCCCUUUUAGUAUGCUAUAAGAACUUUCAUUAAUUCAUAUUUAAUUUUUCUUUUGUUAUUUUCUAUAAAUAAGUAGUAAAGUAAUAAAGUUUUUAAUAGUUAUAUAACCAACAAAAUUUAAAAUUUAAAUUUGUUAAAGUUAUUGUCUAAAACGUUUAUCUUUAAUGUCAUUCCUUAUUUUCUCCCAACAUUUUCAAAUGGAGUUAAAACAAAUAAGCUCUCUGGUCGCGAUAUGUUCACAUUAUUAUUUUGGUAUGCAGUUUGAUUAUUGUUUAAGUCAGCGUUUACAAUUGGUAUAAAUUAAAAAUAAAAUAACUGUUUCAAGCAUUUUUUUUUUGCUUCAAGUGCAGCAAUGAAAGAUAGAAAGUUUUUUAAAGAAGACGUAAUAAAGUGUGUAAAAGAAAUUUUACGUUAUGCUCCAGACAAGGCCACAGGUGGAAGGCGGUUUUUUGUAUAAAACUUUAAAAUUAUAAAAGCAUAAAAUGUAAAUUACUUGUUAA
rnacentral:lncRNA from 1 species